GAUGAACGCUGGCGGCGUGCCUAAUACAUGCAAGUCGAGCGAACAGACGAGGAGCUUGCUCCUUUGACGUUAGCGGCGGACGGGUGAGUAACACGUGGAUAACCUACCUAUAAGACUGGGAUAACUUCGGGAAACCGGAGCUAAUACCGGAUAACAUGUUGAACCGCAUGGUUCAACAGUGAAAGACGGUCUUGCUGUCACUUAUAGAUGGAUCCGCGCCGCAUUAGCUAGUUGGUAAGGUAACGGCUUACCAAGGCAACGAUGCGUAGCCGACCUGAGAGGGUGAUCGACCACACUGGAACUGAGACACGGUCCAGACUCCUACGGGAGGCAGCAGUAGGGAAUCUUCCGCAAUGGGCGAAAGCCUGACGGAGCAACGCCGCGUGAGUGAAGAAGGUCUUCGGAUCGUAAAACUCUGUUAUUAGGGAAGAACAAAUGUGUAAGUAACUAUGCACGCCUUGACGGUACCUAAUCAGAAAGCCACGGCUAACUACGUG
rnacentral:rRNA from 1 species